GACGAACGCUGGCGGCGUGCUUAACACAUGCAAGUCGAGCGGUAAGGCCCUUUCGGGGGUACACGAGCGGCGAACGGGUGAGUAACACGUGGGUGACCUGCCCUUAGCUCUGGGAUAAGCCUGGGAAACUGGGUCUAAUACCGGAUAUGACUCCAUGACGCAUGUUGUGGGGUGGAAAGCCUUGUGCGGCUAGGGAUGGGGCCCGCGGCCUAUCAGCUUGUUGGUGGGGUGANGGCCUACCAAGGCGACGACGGGUAGCCGGCCUGAGAGGGCGACCGGCCACACUGGGAC
rnacentral:rRNA from 1 species